CCUGGUACCCCUUGCUACCUCCGACUAGCACAUUUACAUUUACAUGGUAUCUUUGUCCACCAAAGAUUCAUGAAGCAUCGAUAUGACUCUCAUACUAGAUGCGUAACAUCAUAUGACCUCGCUCCAUAUUAAAUAUGUGUGUUCGCACGCACACACAUUAAAUUUUCCAAUUUCCAUGCAUCAACCCAUCCCCUCCGUUAUAUUUGGGGAAAAAUUGUUCAUGGUACAAACCUUAGAACUGUGUACAAUAUUCCAGCUACAAAGUCAUAGACAAGGAUAGGUGCUUAUGCUGUAUACUGGUAUUCAGUUUAGAAGUCGUUCAACAAGUAAAUACUCCGAGUAACAAAAUAAAACUCAAGUAGAAUCCAGAAUUCACUGGAGGGGUCAGCAUCUGACAAAUCACAAAUGUGAAUAUUAGAAGAAAAGUAAAAUGGAAGUUACAGAAAAAAAAAA